CUUCAGGCAAUUGGGGAAAACACAGGCAAGGAAAGGACCAGGAAAACCAGAGUACUUAAUUUUACAGGAUAUGCAUUCCUCACACCUACAGGACAAUCUACCAUCAACUCUCCUGUAGGAAGGCUUCUAGGAACGGGAGACAGGAGAACACCCCACCCUUAGAUUUGCUCCCCUCACCACACGGUGAUCUACUGCCCUGCUGGAAGGAUUCUGAUGUAUUUUAAUAUAUUAGUAUUGUUUAUUGUGUUUUUGAGGUAUGCACUUGACUAUUACUUGUAAGCUGCCUUGGUAGGAUUUAGAUCUUGAAAGGCGCAUGAGAAAUAUAACUAAUUGUAAUAAAUAAAACAACUAGUUGGCAAUAAUAGUCACAGUUUGA